UGCGGGUCUCCCCGCAUGGAGAUUGGCGAUAACGGGUCAGGUGCGGAAGCAAGCAGCCCACCGUUAGUUUUCCAGUGCCGGGGGUCGGGCCCGCACCC
rnacentral:SRP_RNA from 1 species